GAUGAACGCUGGCGGCGUGCCUAAUACAUGCAAGUCGAGCGAACAGAUAAGGAGCUUGCUCCUUUGACGUUAGCGGCGGACGGGUGAGUAACACGUGGGUAACCUACCUAUAAGACUGGGAUAACUUCGGGAAACCGGAGCUAAUACCGGAUAAUAUUUCGAACCGCAUGGUUCGAUAGUGAAAGAUGGUUUUGCUAUCACUUAUAGAUGGACCCGCGCCGUAUUAGCUAGUUGGUAAGGUAACGGCUUACCAAGGCGACGAUACGUAGCCGACCUGAGAGGGUGAUCGGCCACACUGGAACUGAGACACGGUCCAGACUCCUACGGGAGGCAGCAGUAGGGAAUCUUCCGCAAUGGGCGAAAGCCUGACGGAGCAACGCCGCGUGAGUGAUGAAGGUCUUCGGAUCGUAAAACUCUGUUAUUAGGGAAGAACAUACGUGUAAGUAACUGUGCACGUCUUGACGGUACCUAAUCAGAAAGCCACGGCUAACUACGUGCCAGCAACCGCGGUAAUACGUAGGUGGCAAGCGUUAUCCGGAAUUAUUGGGCGUAAAGCGCGCGUAGGCGGUUUUUUAAGUCUGAUGUGAAAGCCCACGGCUCAACCGUGGAGGGUCAUUGGAAACUGGAAAACUUGAGUGCAGAAGAGGAAAGCGGAAUUCCAUGUGUAGCGGUGAAAUGCGCAGAGAUAUGGAGGAACACCAGUGGCGAAGGCGACUUUCUGGUCUGUAACUGACGCUGAUGUGCGAAAGCGUGGGGAUCAAACAGGAUUAGAUACCCUGGUAGUCCACGCCGUAAACGAUGAGUGCUAAGUGUUAGGGGGUUUCCGCCCCUUAGUGCUGCAGCUAACGCAUUAAGCACUCCGCCUGGGGAGUACGACCGCAAGGUUGAAACUCAAAGGAAUUGACGGGGACCCGCACAAGCGGUGGAGCAUGUGGUUUAAUUCGAAGCAACGCGAAGAACCUUACCAAAUCUUGACAUCCUUUGACAACUCUAGAGAUAGAGCUUUCCCCUUCGGGGGACAAAGUGACAGGUGGUGCAUGGUUGUCGUCAGCUCGUGUCGUGAGAUGUUGGGUUAAGUCCCGCAACGAGCGCAACCCUUAAGCUUAGUUGCCAUCAUUAAGUUGGGCACUCUAAGUUGACUGCCGGUGACAAACCGGAGGAAGGUGGGGAUGACGUCAAAUCAUCAUGCCCCUUAUGAUUUGGGCUACACACGUGCUACAAUGGACAAUACAAAGGGUAGCGAAACCGCGAGGUCAAGCAAAUCCCAUAAAGUUGUUCUCAGUUCGGAUUGUAGUCUGCAACUCGACUACAUGAAGCUGGAAUCGCUAGUAAUCGUAGAUCAGCAUGCUACGGUGAAUACGUUCCCGGGUCU
rnacentral:rRNA from 1 species